GGGGCUUUCCCAAGGGUCACACGGGCAAGACUCUGGAGAGACUGCGGCCUUCCAGCCCAGUCUAGGCACCUUGCAAGGAAGAUGUGCACACUGAGACCCCCCCAUCUUGGACCAACGCCUGACAUCAGUGAGUGCGCGGCGCUGACUGAAGCAUGACACAGUCUGCCAUGGCCACGUAGUGAGGUGUGUGCGAGACCUGAGCCCUCAAGACUCACUGCCUGGCGUUCUAGAGCCUUCAAAAGUGAUUUGAGCAAAAGCCCCGGAAACCAGUGCAACCGAACGACCAGGAGGCAGAAAGCUGAGGAUGGGACUCGGCGUGGCUGCUGGACCCCCUUCCUCAGUGCUGGCCUUUCAGAACAAGCUGGAGCCCCUAGGCCGCUCUGGGGCCCAAACCACACAAUGCUGCUUCCUCUCUUAACCAGGAAAGGUUACGAGUUACGAGCCAAGUUACGAGCUACUGACUGAAAAGUUGACAGUUUGAAUCCACCCGGCACCUCCACAGAAAGAGCUGCCAUCAGCUUCUACAAAGACCACAGCCUGGUUAUCAAAAGAUACGGCAUCUGGGUCUUAACGACUUGUAAUUAAACAAGCGGUCAUCUAGCAGGGAAGCAACAAAUCCCACAGGGAAGAGGCACACCAGACUGUGUGAUCACAGGUGUCUACAGGAAGAGGUACCAGAAGUUCAAAAACACGCAAUGAACUCGAUGUGGAGGGGCAUGGAUGCAGUAGAGACCCAAAACUCGCUUGCAAGGUAAUUGGACAGUCCCUCUCAGAAGAGCCACUCGGAAAGGAUGAUAAACCCAUGGUGCAAUAUGGCACUGAUGAACCACAUAUGGUAAUUAUCUGCCAGUUCUUUAAUAAUUAAGGCUGCUAUUUGUUUUAUCUCAUUAAUCAUGUUAGAUUUACGUAUGUUCAUUGGUAUAUUUAAGAUUGUUCGGUACAUAAAAGUCAAGAUCGAUAACCCUGCAGAAACAGUAAUGGGAGUAAUGGUUCCUGAGGGUACCCAGAAGGUAGGGGAGGAGUAAGGGGAAGGAGAGCUAAUAGCAUUGAUGAUUGUCUAAUUCCACUUGAUGGUAAUGAACAACAGAAUUGUUUGUGGACGGAUAUAUUGGAUUGGGUCAGAUAUGUCAAUAAAACUACUAUUAAAAAAAGACUACAGCCUAGAAAAUCCUAUGCAAUGCUACCCCAUCAAAUGGGGUUGCCAUAAAUGGAAAUAUACCUCCUAACAGCAGCACUAUAGGGUGCUACUAUAGGACAGGGAGACCAUAUAUAUAUAUAUAUAUGCUGAUAUAUAUAUGGCUGGUGAGUUGGAACUGCCUCCCAACCGCUAGCCCACUCUGCCACCAGAAAGGCACUAUUCACAGCAAGACAAGGACAGUGGCUUCUGCGGGGAUCUCCUGGGCCAGGUAGGUUCAACGCAGAGGGGCUAGCUCAGGAGGUUAUGAUUGCUGGCUUUUGUUGUUGUUGUUGUAAAAGGAUCAUUUUGAUGGACUUUUUCAAAUGGGCACAGGAUGAUCACAGGAGGUGAGUGUGAGAAAGUUUUAAGAAAAUCGAAAACCACAUUGGCAGGACACAGAAAGCCAAGAAAACUGUGUUAAGAGAUGAUUCCCAUGAUGACAAAGCACCCGCCACUCAUUCUUCCAGGGCAGCAACACUGGCCUUUGAUAAUUCUGUCAAGAAACCUUAUCCCAUCCACUCGACAGUCCUGAUGUUUCCCCUUAAGACUUCUUUUUGUUUCCAAAUGGCCUAGUCUCUUCAACAACAAAAUCACAGAGAGAGAGCCCCGAUGGAGAUAGGACACCUGCAGACUUCAAAGACAAAUCAACCAAUUUCAGUGAAGGGUGCUCAGUGAGCUACUGAUUUAAAUAGGCUGUAAUAGACGUGGGGUUCUAGUGGCACAAUAAUUAACUGCUGACCCCUAACCUCAGGGCUGGUGGUCUCAACCCGGUAGUUGUUCCAUGAGAGAAAUGUGUGGCAGUCUGCUUCCGUAAAGAUUUACAAGCUUGGAAAAUCCAUGAGGCAUUUCUCUGUCCUGUGAGUCCUGUGAAUUGGAAUUCACUCCACUCAGUAGCUGUAUGUUUGGGUUUGGCUUGUUAAGCCACAUCCAAGCACUUGAGCACAUGAACACACGCGUGCACACACACACACACACACAGGCAUAAACACACACACAGGCAUAAACACACACACAGGCAUAAACACACACACACAGGCAUAAACACACACACACACACACACAGCAAUCAUGGAAAGUUGACACUGACUCCAUAUUUGGUGACAUGAGAAAUUGUUACUCAUUUUUAAUAUGGAGAGAUAAUUGUUGUGGCUAGUUAAGAAUUUUUACCGGUAGAGAUUCAUACUGACAUGUAUGUCUGACAUCCUCUGAAGUCUUAGAUUUGCUUUAAAAUCGUUCAGGAGGGAGUGGGAAUCCCCAGGAAUUAAUUGCUAAAGCUGGUGAUGAUUAUGCCUGGCUCGUUUUCUUUCUUUAAAAAAAAAUUAAUAAAUCAUUUUAUUGGGGGCUCUUACAGCUCUUAU